rnacentral:rRNA from 1 species
UACGUAGGGACCAAGCGUUGUUCGGAAUUACUGGGCGUAAAGGGCUCGUAGGCGGCCAACUAAGUCAGACGUGAAAUCCCUCGGCUUAACCGGGGAACUGCGUCUGAUACUGGAUGGCUAGAGGUUGGGAGAGGGAUGCGGAAUUCCAGGUGUAGCGGUGAAAUGCGUAGAUAUCUGGAGGAACACCGGUGGCGAAGGCGGCAUCCUGGACCAAUUCUGACGCUGAGGAGCGAAAGCCAGGGGAGCAAACGGG